rnacentral:tRNA from 1 species
GCCCUGUUAGCUCAGCUGGUCAGAGCAAUCGACUCAUAAUCGACUGGUCGCCGGUUCAAGUCCGGCACGGGGCA